rnacentral:rRNA from 1 species
AACGAACGCUGGCGGCGUGGAUUAGGCAUGCAAGUCGAGCGAGAACCCAGCAAUGGGGGACAGCGGCGCAAGGGACAGUAAUGUGUAGAUUAUCUGCCCUCGGGUCCGGGAUAGCUGCGGGAAACUGCAGGUAAUACCGGAUAACAUCUCCGGAUCAAAGGUGUGAUUCCGCCCGAGGAUGAGUCUGCAUCCUAUUAGCUAGUUGGCAGGGUAAUGGCCUACCAAGGCGAUGAUGGGUAGCGGGUGUGAGAGCACGACCCGCGUCAUUGGGACUGAGACACUGUCCAGACACCUACGGGUGGCUGCAGUCGAGAAUCUUCGGCAAUGGGCGCAAGCCUGACCGAGCGACGCCGCGUGUGGGAUGAAGGCCUUCGGGUUGUAAACCACUGUCAGAGGGGAUGAAAUGCAGGUGGGUUCUCCCAUCUGUUUGACAUAGCCUCAGAGGAAGGACGGGCUAAGUUCGUGCCAGCCGCCGCCGUAAAAC